GGAUACCGGAACACUGGCCUGAAUGCCACUUCGGUCUGGAUACCGGAAAACUGGCCUGAACGCCACUUCGGUCUGGAUACCGGAAAACUUCAUGCCUGUCAGCAUCGGCAGAAAUAGGGAAUGAUAAUAGAGGCGGCGCCUGGGCAAUGACACAAAGUUAAGUCAUGAACAAUCUUCAGUCUGAGUACUGGAAACAACUUC
rnacentral:lncRNA from 1 species